rnacentral:lncRNA from 1 species
UUAAAUGCCUCCAGACAUUGCUCAAAGAAGUGGAAGGGCACCUCUUUCUAUAGAAGGUUGGUUAAUUGGUGCACUAUCUUUGAGAAGUCUUUUAUGAACCUCUGGUAAAAUCCUAUAUGUCUUAAAAAAAUCAUCAUUGCUUUGACAAAAACUAGCGGUGGCAGCUUCUCUAUUACCUCUAUCUUUACCUUGUCCACCUUAAUCCCCUUGUGUGACACCUUGUGACCCAAGACUAUUCCUUCC